UGGAGGAUUACAACUACAUAUAUCUUUGCAUGCAAAUAUGCAAUUAAUUUUUUUUUUUUUUGUAAACUCCUUCUCACAUCAUUAAUAUAUAAUUGGAACCAUGUUUUUGCAAUGUGUGUGCCAACCGAAGGAAGGUUCAGAAAUUGGGAAAUAGACUAUUAGGUGAUGUGCAAUAUUUUGUGUAACAAUGAUACAAAGGCAUGGGAGAGUGAUUAGUCGGCAGCCCCGUG
rnacentral:lncRNA from 1 species